CCAGGAUGACAUCGUUCCAUUGUGAAACUGCCCGCCCUGGGGGAGGGGCUGAGCAUUCCCACCUGAACCUGAGCAUAUAAAAUCUGAGUUUGGGGCCUUCUGGCAACACUUAACAGACCCAGGGCAGGAGCAGAACUCCAAGAGGACUGUGACCACUGCUGUUGACAAGACUGCUCCCAUCACUUGGACAGGACUGUGUCCACCACUCUGACCAACAGGAUUUCCCACUCCCAAACCUUGGCCAGAUGGAGGAGGAGGCUGUGAGGAAGAGGAAGAUGCCCCAGGACACCCAGGCAGACAAGGAGCUGAGGACAGAGCCCAGGGAGGACAAAUCCCCGUGGCAGAACCUGGUGGAAGAGGCCGUUUUGAGCAGCUCCACAUCGCAGGAAUCCAGCUGGGAGGAAAACCACCGGAGAUCCCACAGGAGGAGGGGCUGCAAACGCAGCCCAGGGAGCUGUGAGGAGGA